rnacentral:rRNA from 1 species
UACGUAGGUGGCAAGCGAUACUCGGAAUCACUGGGCGUAAAGCGCAGGUAGGAGGUUUGGUAAGUCUGUUGUGAAAGCUCCCGGCUUAACUGGGAGAGGUCAACGGAAACUACCAGGCUAGAGUGCGGUAGAGGUAGCUGGAAUUCCCGGUGUAGCGGUGAAAUGCGUAGAUAUCGGGAGGAAUACCUAUGGCGAAAGCAGGCUACUGGACCGUCACUGACUCUGAUCUGCGAAAGCUAGGGGAGCAAACAGG